rnacentral:tRNA from 1 species
CCUUGCUGUGGAACGGCAUUCACCUGUGGCAGCGCCACAGUCUGCAGCACACGGUUGAUGACGAUCUCCGGUGAGAUUUCGUAGGCGAGCGC